UAGUAGAUAGCCGUGUCAUCAGCGAAGA
rnacentral:sRNA from 1 species